rnacentral:rRNA from 1 species
CCUACGGGGGGCAGCAGUGAGGAAUAUUGGUCAAUGGGCGAGAGCCUGAACCAGCCAAGCCGCGUGAGGGAGUACUGCCCUAUGUGUUGUAAACCUCUUUUGUCGGGGACCAAAAGCUGGACGUGUCCGCCGGUGAGAGUACCCUAAGAAAAAGCAUCGGCUAACUCCGUUCCAGCAGCCGCGGUAAUACGGAGGAUGCGAGCGUUAUCCGGAUUUUUUGGGUUUUAAGGGUGCGCAGGCGGAUUUUUAAGUCAGCGGUAAAAUAGUGGGGCUCAACCCCAUCCAGCCGUUGGAACUGGGGGUCGAGAGUGUGCGAGAGGUAUGCGGAAUGCGUGGUGUAGCGGUGAAAUGCAUAGAUAUCGCGCAGAACCCCGAUUGCGAAGGCAGCAUACCGGUGCACAACUGACGCUCAGGCACGAAAGCGUGGGUAUCGAACAGGAUUAGAUACCCGAGUAGUC